CCCUUAGAUGUUCUGGGCCGCACGCGCGCUACACUGAUACAGGCAGCAAGUUAUAUUUCCCCUUGGCUGAGAGGCCUGGGUAAUCUUGUGAAAUUGUAUCGUGAUGGGGAUAGGUCACUGUAAUCGUUGACCUUUAACGAGGAAUUCCUAGUACGCGCAAGUCAUCAGCUUGCAUGGAUUACGUCCCUGCCCUUUGUACACACCGCCCGUCGCUCCUACCGAUUGAGUGGUCCGGUGAGGCUUUGGGAUCUGAGCGGAAAGAGCGUUUCGCUGUUUCUGCUCGGAAAACUCAGUCGAACCUUAUCAUUUAGAGGAAGGAGAAGUCGUAACA
rnacentral:rRNA from 1 species